GGGCCUGUAGCUCAGCUGGGAGAGCGCCGCGUUCGCAAUGCGGAGGUCAGGAGUUCGAUCCUCCUCACGUCCACCA
rnacentral:tRNA from 1 species